rnacentral:rRNA from 1 species
GAUGAACGCUGGCGGCGUGCCUAAUACAUGCAAGUCGAGCGAACGGACGAGAAGCUUGCUUCUCUGAUGUUAGCGGCGGACGGGUGAGUAACACGUGGAUAACCUACCUAUAAGACUGGGAUAACUUCGGGAAACCGGAGCUAAUACCGGAUAAUAUUUUGAACCGCAUGGUUCAAAAGUGAAAGACGGUCUUGCUGUCACUUAUAGAUGGAUCCGCGCUGCAUUAGCUAGUUGGUAAGGUAACGGCUUACCAAGGCAACGAUGCAUAGCCGACCUGUGAGGGUGAUCGGCCACACUGGAACUGAGACACGGUCCAGACUCCUACGGGAGGCAGCAGUAGGGAAUCUUCCGCAAUGGGCGAAAGCCUGACGGAGCAACGCCGCGUGAGUGAUGAAGGUCUUCGGAUCGUAAAACUCUGUUAUUAGGGAAGAACAUAUGUGUAAGUAACUGUGCACAUCUUGACGGUACCUAAUCAGAAAGCCACGGCUAACUACGUG